AACGAACGCUGGCGGCGUGCCUAACACAUGCAAGUCGAACGAGAAAGGGGCUUCGGCUCCGAGUAAAGUGGCGCACGGGUGAGUAACACGUGGGUAACCUGCCUCUAAGAUUGGGCUAACUCGUCGAAAGAUGAGCUAAUACCGGAUAAGACCAAAGUUCCCGCGGGAACAGGGGUCAAAGGUAGCCUCUGAUUGCGAGCCAUCACUUAGAGCUGGGCACGCGAACCAUUAGCUAGUUGGUAGGGUAACGGCCUACCAAGGCAAAGAUGGUUAGCUGGUCUGAGAGGAUGAUCAGCCACACUGGAACUGAGACACGGUCCAGACUCCUACGGGAGGCAGCAGUGGGGAAUAUUGCGCAAUGGGCGAAAGCUUGACGCAGCAACGCCGCGUGAGUGAUGAAGGCCUUCGGGUCGUGAAGCUCUGUCGGGAGGAACGAAUGCUCCCAAGGUUAACAGCCUCGGGAGGUGACGGUACCUUCAAAGGAAGCACCGGCUAACUCUGUGCCAGCCGCCGCAGUAAGAC
rnacentral:rRNA from 1 species